CAACAAGUCCCACACAGUUUAUCAGCUACCUCCAAAGCUACCUGAAGUAACUGCUUCUCACAGCCUCCCCCACUAUCCCCCUGCCCCAAACCACGAUCAUCUCUCUUUAGAGUCCUAGAUGCCAGGAGCACUCACGUCGCACUAGUUGUGAAAAUCAGAAUCUCUCCAAACAUUGCCAAAUGCCUUCUGUGAAAUCAGGAGGCACAAAGUCACCCCAGGUCUGCAUGGUUAUCGUCCAUCACUUUACUAGUCUUCUUGUUCCAUUUUUACCCUUCUAUAAUCUGCACCUCAUACGGUAGCCAGAAUAAUCUUACAGCAGUGUGCAAGAACCCUGAGAGGCCGGAAGUAGCCAAGUACAGUGAUUAGAUUUGUCUCUUGGGAGAAAAAACUUGUGUGGUAAUGAGAUGCAUAGAUGUGCAGUCAAGAAUAGCAGAAAAUUGGAGAAAUCAAAAACCAUAAAGCUUUGGGGUUUGACUGAAUGUUUCUGGUCCUGGCUCUGUCUUUUAAACACCCCGAGGCCGCCUUAAACAAGCUCUUACCCUUCUUGAGUUUCAGUUUCUGUAUUUGUGUGACAGGCAUCAUUAUUCUUACCCCUGGGAUGACGGGAAGAUUAAAUAAGACAACAUGUUAAACCGCUGCCUUGUGCCUGACACACUGUAAGCAAGGAGUGAUUGGCAGCUAUUAAAACGUCUGAGGUAGUAAUUGCGAUGUUAGGGACAAACAAGCUUGGGAAAAACUGAGCAUUUUAUGUUUGGGGAUAAGGGAGAAGAAAAGCACAGCACUUGGAGUCUUGACACUGGCAGCCUUGUAGACAAAACAAAGCAGACGCUGUGAACUUUCUGAAGAAGGAGAGAGCGGGCGGUCUCUACUGCAGAAGGAAAGUCCCUCCGCUUCCAUCUUUCGUAGUUCCUGUUCCCCACCGUCCCACCUUCCUUCCAUCUCACAGUUCGAAACUUGGUGUCCAUAGAUCUCCUCAAGUGCCACAUAAAUCAAAUUUAAGGCUGUGUUUAGACGGAAACACUACAACUUCAAUUUCACCACACUAAAAUCUAGUGUUUUCACCGACUGUCCGUUUGGGGACAAAAGAAAACUACAGACCCUAACAGUACCCUACGAUAUCAAAAAUGCAUUUUGGCAUUGGUGAGAUGGCUUUGCAGGUUAAGGCUCUCGUCACAGCCUGGUACCUGAAUUGGAUCCCCAGGACCUACAUGGUUGAAGGAUAGAACCCACUCUCCCAAAUGGACAUGGUCGUCGUGAUAUAUGCAAGCCCCUCAAAUAAUAAUAAUUUUAAAACUACAUAUACAUUUUAUAUUAUUUUUGAAGUUGCCCCAAAUUUCUCCAAAUAUCACUUUUAGAAAUUAUAGUAUUCUGUGUAUUUUUCACGUAAACAUUAUUUAAGGAACCCCUAGACAUCUCCAAAUGUAUUUGGCAGGAACAGGUUAAGACUUCCUGCUAGGUCGUUACAUAAGUCAUGCAUCUUUUUCACUCUAUUAAUUUGUUGCUGUUUGUUACUGUGUAUUGCUGCCCUUACUCCUAUCCAUAAGCCUCAGCCAUCCAAGGAAAACAGCCUCCAAGGAACACAGCCACAUGACUUCAAAUGUUUGUCAAUUGUUCUGAUCACUCUUUGGACCUUUUACUUUCCAUUCAGUCUUAAGACAUAAGAUUGAGUCAAGUAUACUGUUCACUCACUUUUCCACCGUCAACAAACAUUAUUGAGCAGAGGGUAUCGUGCUACAUGGCUUGCUGUUUAGUACGAAAGGUAGCAGCAAUGUAUCACUUGAGUGUUGUAGUCAGAAAGGGAGACUUGUAGGGAAGUUACCAGACAACCUGGGAGUUACUUUGCUCAGGAUGAAAUUUUAUGGCGUGUGAAUUCCCAGAGAUUUGUCAGGAGGUGACAUUGAGAAGAAAGGAAAUUCCAUUAGAGGACUGAGUUUGCCGAGAUUGGUAGAAAUCGUCACACAGGCAACAUGUUAGAACACAAAGUACACGUGAGAAAGCAUGCCGUGUGGACAAUUAAUAGCCAAAUGGCCUGCAGGAUGAUGCCAAGCUGGCUUCUUCUCGGCUAUGUCACUGUCAAAUCCGCCCCGCUUAUUGGUGGAGACUGAGCAACAUCACCCUUACCACACCAGAGGUGAGUAGCAUCUCUCCAGUUGUAACAACCAAAAAUAUAAUCUUUCCCCAAUUGCCAGAUGUCCUCCGGACACACCACACACACACACACCAUGCGCAUGCUCGUGCAGUAGGUCCAGGUCAACAUCUGGUAUGAAAUAAAGCUGCUUUCUUGUGAUCAAACAAAAAAGAACCACUUAAAAAAUCCCAAUGGGGUAUUUAAUUUUCUCUUAGAAAUAAAUAAAAUGCUGAGAUACAAAAAGAGUUCCAAGAGUCAACUUCCGAUGAGAUAAAUACUUCAUCGAAAUAUCUCUUCUGGAGCCGGGCAUGAUGCUCAGGCCUAUAAUCCCAGGGAUCAAGAGGCUGAGGCAGGGAGACUGUAAAUUGAAGGCUAGCCCAUGUAAUAAACUGAAUUAUUUAUUUAGUUAUAGCCUGGACUACAAUAGCAAACAUGCAUGUACGUGCGUGCACACACACACACACACACACACACACACACACACACACACACGCGCACACGCACACACCCCUUUGCUGCAGUGGGCUUAUUCAAGUUUACUUUGGUAUUUGCAGAAUUUGUUCUCUCUUCAUGCUGUACAGUGUAAUUUUGAUACAACCAUACUUCUUAACUUUAAACCCCCCCCCCCUGGCUGCACUGCCCCUUUUCUGGGAUGGUGUUAAAGAAUCCUUCUGUUCCUGUAGCAGCACCGUCAAGUUCCUUCCCAAACAAGCACAACAUGUAAAGUUUCAGGGUGGGGGUUUCAUCCUCACCCUGCAGGGAAGGAAAUUAAGAAGGGUCACGACCCAGCGCAAGUGUGUGUGAGAAAAUAAUUGGGCUUUAUGUCGUGAGAGACUUUAUGAAAGGAGAGAGAAUGGGGGUGAAUAAAAACCAGGGUGUGUGUUGGGGAGGGGAUAACGAAGUUAGGAGUCUUGGGAAGACAAAGACUGUAUGAUAGGACAGUGAAUUAUGUGUCUAUACAGCAACCUUGAAAUAGUUCCCAGUUUCGAAAGCAUCCUGAAGCUUCUACCGGCCUUCCAGCCGUCACUGGCUAGUUCCUGACCACCUUUUCAGCCUUCUCAAUAUCAAGUUCUGUGAAAGAGAAGUCUUUAAAAUCCUGUGGCACUCAAAUAUUUUAUGUGGAAGAAGUAGAUGACAGGAGAAUUGAAAGGGUGAGGUGGGGAAGGCUGAUGAUGGGAAACAGGUGUUCUCAGAUAGGCUAUUAAUAGCAUCACCAUGGCAACACUUCUGGAGAAAUCUAGCAAUAUGUAUCAAAACCCAUGAGAAGAGGGGAUGAAUCCCACUAGAUAGAUCCAGGUGUUCACUUUUGUUGGCCUUCAUGUUAAGGAAGGACAUGCUCAAAGAUACAUGCAGAAGGUAGUGUUGCUGGUCUACCCAGUGUUGUACAGUAAGAAGGGAACAAGGGAAAUGGAGCACACUAACUGGUUACAAAACCAUGGUUUCCUCGCACAAUGAAAUAACAAGGAAACAGUGGUAUUAAAACAUCUGUUGAGAUGUGUUAGUGGGUAUAGGCAUUUGUCAUGAAGCCUAAGAGUCUGAUGCCUCUAGCCCACAUGAUUGAAGGAGCUAAUUGACUUCUGGAAAGUUGUCCUCUGACUUUUACAUCACACACACACACACACACACACACACACACACACACACACACACACACACACACUGUAAAACAAAAAAAAAAUCUUUCUUGAAAAUUAUUCUUUUAAACCAUAUGCUCAGAAAGAUCAAUAGAAAUACAAAUCAAAAUGUCAUUUUGAUUUAGUUGGUCAUUUUUAAUUGUUUCUCUCAAAAAUACAAAUAUUUCUCUCUCAACACACACACAUAUACAUAUAUACAUAUAUAUCAAUACAGGGUCUUACUCUGUAGCAAGUCUGACCUUCACAGGAAUUUUCCUGCCUCAGCCUUCUGAGUGCUGGGAUUACAGAUGUCAGCCACCAUAUCUGGAUCUUUAAUUUCUUUAACUGCUGUGAAUAUGCCAAAACUGGUAGAAUAAAUACGUAUUGCCUUAAUGUUAAGAAUAAAGGCAUUUGGCCAUAUGUGGUGGUCCAUGUCUAUAAAACAGCAUUUGGGAGACUCAGGCAGAAGGGUCAUGAGUUUGAGGCCAGCCUAGAUUAUAGACUAAGACUUUGUCUCCAAAAGAAACAAAGCAAAGGGGAAAAGUAUUUGAAAGAAAGGAAAAUAAUGAAAACAAGGAACAAUCCCCAUGGUUCCUGUGUACUGUGACGCAGACAUUGCUCUAAGGAUCUCACUUGUUGGGUGUUGAGUUUUCUGACAUUAACUUGAAUGAUCACCCUAACAGCUUCUGAAAUAGGGAAGCCACUGUGCUCUACCCAGGCACACCAUCUUAUCCUUUAAAACCAAUUCCUAAUAUAACCAUGAGUAUUAACCUAGUCUCAGUUUUCCAAUUUUGAGGAUAUAUAGUCAUUAUUUACGAAAAAUGAAGAAAAACAAUCACAUUUUGAUGAGGAAAUAGGGGCCUGGACUGGUUAAACAACGAGUUGUCUAGCAAGGAUUUGAGCCCAGAGUCUAAAGGCAAAGCCUGCAAGGUUCACACCUGAGUUACAUACACUGCUUUGUGGGUGCAGUUUUGAGCCUGCGCAUGUGGGGCAUGAGUAAGAAGUAUUCAUGGAAAGAUGGUUGUAGGAAGCUAGCCACAGGGCAGGGGUCUUCUUGUAUAGACCAAAAUGUAUUCUUGUUGACUACUCUAUAAUAUGUGGCAACAUGGUAUAAUUUAUAUGCUAUAAUGUUGUGCUUAAUUUAAAACACCAAUAGGAAAUCAAAUACAGGAAUAUUUUUCCAAUAGAGAACUUACUUCUGGUGAGUAUAUCAAGUUUUCAACUGCAUUGUGAGUAGUAUUUUAGAGUAUGGAGAAAUAUGUAGGACACCACAAAAGUAGCCUGCUCAGUUAUUAACACAGAAUGUCUGAAGAGUUGAAGUUUAUUUAUUUGAUAGUGGACUACAAAGAGGCAAACACAUACUGCCAAAUUUGGAGAAAGCAGAUAACUGACAUGCCUUUUAAUGAGGUCAAGGUUAAAAGUAUUUACAUAUAUAUGUGUAUACAUACAUAUAUAUAUAUGAUUGCAUGAAGACACACACAUCCACUUGGUUGUUAGACAGACAGACAUUGAACUGACAGCAGGAAGAUCUUACAGUGGAAUUUCAGCUGUCAUUAUUCUGCUAUUUUCACACCUUUGAAAAUGUGGAGGACUUAUCUAAAGAGAAGAAAAUUGAUACACAGAAGCCUGAUGGAGUAUUCCUUUUCAGUAGUGGUGAACAAGGACAAACUAUAAAAACAGCAGACAGGACAGACACUGGUUCCCAUAACAACAGUGACAGUGAACAACUGUUGGGUACCCCACAUAAUGGCUCAAUUCUUUUACUGAAUUUUUUCACAACUAUGUAAUUGAAAUUUUAUCAUGAUGAAUAGUGCCUUGGGACUUAAAAAAAAUCCCAACAAAAAUCCAGGGUUCUGGAUGCAAACAUUUCUGUGUAACACAGUUAUUAAUUAUCUACAAGAUAACCUAUGGUUUAAUAGUAAAGAUCUUUGAUAAUAAGGUUUUUAAUUUCUGCUAGCUUCUACUUAACUUCUAUUCUUUCAGAAGUUCUUUUAUACUAUUUAUUAAACACAUUCUGUAAAAUGUAAGAAAUAAUGUACAUUCUCAUGGUCACACACAGUGACAGAUUGCAGUAACACAUUGACUCCUUGUUGCAUAUAGGAGACAUGGGCUGCACAUUUUAGUGAUCCAUGCAGGGAAGGCUCACAGAAACACCAAGCAAACAAUUAGAGACUGGUCAGCCAUGAAAACUUACCCUCCCAGUCACAACAGGCUUAACAGCAAAACUACCGGCAUUGACUGCUUCAUCAAAACCAUGCUGGGCACAGUUGUUUCUGGUUAGAAGGGCCACAAAGGACACUGGCUACCAGGAAUUUUCCUGGUUCUCGACAUGGGGUUCAGACUAAACUCUCCUUACAUGGCUUUUCCUAUAUCACAGGCAUUAGCUGAAGAAAUAUUUCAGGCUUCAAAUAAAAAACCAUCAACCUUCACUGAAAAGCUGGAAAUGGUCUAUUUGAGUCUCUGGUCCUGGAAGCAGCUUGCUGCAGGUCCUUAAGGCAAAUGCCAGGGCUCAAACAAAUUGGAGAGCGGUCUCGAGAUGUAAACAAUAAGAUCAGGACCAAGGAGUUUCAACCUUGGACAGAAGCUUUUCACAAACAGGCCUGUCUGGGUAAGACGGGCUUCUUGGCUUUUGAAGUUUGUGUGUUUUACAUACUGGAAGUACUGCAUACGUUUCUUGUUUUGUUUUGUUUUUCUACUGUAGAGACUUGUGGACUAGAUAAAUGUUCAUGGUGUUGCUUAAAAACCAAAAAUACACAGCAUGGAGAAGCCACUCAAAAACCUAGCAGUAUUUUGGGUCUGUUUUUGUUUGUUUCCUGUUCACAUUUUACUUUUGUGGUUGGCAUAUGGAAAACCAAAC